UCAAAUUCACCAUUUGAGCCUCAUUAUCAAUAGGCAGCUUAUGGUUUUGUAGUGUUUUCAGGUUACAUCAGAGAGAGAGAGAGAGAGAGAAGCGGGGGAGGACAGAGAGAGAUGGAGAGAGAGAGAAAGGGAGGGAGAGAGAAAUGGUUAAAUUCAAUAUUGUAUGUGGGGUGGAUGCAUCAACCAACAAUAGAAGGAUUUAAAAACCCUAAGAAGUUGCCAUCUUUGUCCAAACUCCCCACAAAACAUCACACAGUUUAAAAGCAUUGUGGCUCCAUCCAUGGACUUGUUAACUGCCUUUGAUGUCACCAUGAUCGCCGGUUAAUUUGAUAACUUUGCUUAAAAUUCAUUUAAUAUCUUCCAAAGUCUACACCGGCCCUCUAAUUUUUAUGCACAAGUGGAGGACCCUGGUUCGAACAAAAAUUAUUAAAUAGUUAGGUAUAAAGAAGUAGUAGUGACCACGCAAGAGAGAGAGAGAGAGGGGAUAUUCAGAGGGGCCGACAGAGUUUCGGCCGGCUGUUAAAUGAAACGAAACAUACUGAAAUUUUACAAAAAAAAUUUUUUUUUACAAGAAAUAUCAUUAAAUUUUUCAUGGUACAAAGAGAAGCCAAAGCUCCAAUGAUUGAGUUCGGCAAAGGAGAAUAACAAGCCUUGGGCGCCUAAAUUAAAUUGCAUGUCCCCUAGUGCUACUAUCUCAAAAGAAUAAAACUAAAGGAAUGAUACCACCUUCUUCUUAUGUUAUUCUAAUUCUUAUUAUAUUAAUAUUAUUCUUAAAGCCCCUCCUAUUCAAGACAAGAGGGUCUCUAAUCUUCAAUUUAUUCUAAAAUAAUAUUAUUCCUGACCCUACAAGAAGGAUAAAUAAUUAAGAUAGCUCUCAUAUUUUCUAAGUAUCCAAUUUGCCCCUUAUCUGAGCAAGAUAAUUCAUUUUUAAGGAUGACCCAUUUCUUAAAUGAGUGUAUAUACUGUACUCCCAUGGGAGCAAUACAGUACACCUAAUCUCUUUGGUAGAAGAUAUGAAAUUUUGUGAGCCACCUAAAAGUCGCUAGAUGAUUAUUUUUAAAAGAAAAAAAAUUUGAAUUUGAAGUUACACCUAGAUCUCACUCUCAUACAAUUUGACGAUCUGUUGAAUCUUGAGAUUUUUUUAUUUUUAAUUUUUUUUUAUUUUUCAAGGGCAUAGAGAGUACAAUUUUGAAAUUUUAUUUUUUUGAGGAAACAAUCUAUAGGUUGAAGAUGUUACAUCCGUAAAAUUUAGUACCCUAAAAUUACUCACAGGUUAGAUUUUACCUGAAGGAUUAAACAUAGAUGAUGUUCCUACGAGAGCAUCAUAUAUAUUUGAUUCUUAAAAGAAAAGACUAUUUUAUACCAAGGUCAUCAACAGGGUGAGAUGGUCGCAUCAAUGUGUGUCAAAAGGAGCUUGUGUAAUGGAUACCUGUGACAUUCCGGGACAAUUAGUCUAAACUAUCAACUCUACAUUAAAAAAUUCAACUCUAUGUUCAAUUUUAGCAUAAAAGAAUUAAUGUAUGGUAUAUAUAUAUAUAUAUAUAUAUAUAAACCGAUUAUUUUUCUUCUAAAAAUGUUAUCAACCAUGAAUGAAGGUAAAAUAGAAACAUAAAAUGAUAUAAAACCAAAACAACAAGACAUAAUUUCUUAAAAUUGUAUAAGAGUAGAAACAAAUAAUUUGCAUAUUAAAAUAAGAG
rnacentral:lncRNA from 1 species